AAGUCGUAACAAGGUUUCCGUAGGUGAACCUGCGGAAGGAUCAUUACUGAGUUAGGGUCUUCAUGGCCGAUCCGUCCCAACCCUUCAGUCGUUAAACAUUAACCACCGUUGCUUUCGGCUGGGCCCGGUCCUCUCGAGGAGCCGCCGGGGAGGUUUCCACCUCUCUGGCCCGUUGCCCGCCGGUGGCCAAACCACAAAACUCUUGAUAAACACUGUCGUCUGAGUUACAUUUAUUUAAUUAAAAAAUAAAA
rnacentral:misc_RNA from 1 species